rnacentral:rRNA from 1 species
UACGGGGGGGCAAGCGUUAUUCGGAAUUAUUUGGGCGUAAAGGGCGCGUAGGCGGCUUUGGCAAGUGGAAGGUGAAAUCCCUCGGCUUAACCGAGGAACUGCCUUUCCAGACUGCUUUGCUUUGAGGCCGGGAGAGGUGAGUGGAAUUUCCCAGUGUAGCGGUGAAAUGCGUAGAUAUUGGGAGGAACACCAGUGGCGAAGGCGGCUCACUGGACCGGUUUCUGACGCUGAGGCGCGAAAGCGUGGGGAGCAAACGGG